AUACAUUAGCAUGGGAUAAUGGAAUAGGACCCUGUCCUCCUAUUUUCAGUUGGUUUGCCGCGAGGACCAGGGUAAUGAUUAAUAGGGAUAGUUGGGGGCAUUAAUAUUUAAUUGUCAGAGGUGAAAUUCUUGGAUUUAUGAAAGAUUAACUUCUGCGAAAGCAUCUGCCAAGGAUGUUUUCAUUAAUCAAGAACGAAAGUUAGGGGAUCGAAGACGAUCAGAUACCGUCGUAGUCUUAACCAUAAACGAUGCCGACCAGCGAUUAGGAGACGUUGAAUACAAAACACCACCAUGCGCAUUGCGGUCGUCUUUGGUGUCGCUCACAAGGCGGCACCGGGGCGGCUUAGCUCGCAUGGCACCGGUGAAUGACUCCCUA
rnacentral:rRNA from 1 species